GCUAGCACCCUCUCUGUCUGGGCUUCCACAGGGAGUGCCCCAACCCUGGCCUUGACCGGUUCUGCCUCCCUGUCAGCACUUCUCAGCUAAGCCGUUCCACCCUACUCUCUGUUCUGCCCUACCGGAGAAGAGAGGAAGCCUCUGUGCCUCCCAGGCGGGAUCAGAUUCCAGAUUGUUUGUAAUGAAAACACACCAAGCCAAGCAAACAAAGCAGAUGCUCCCUUGGCUGUGCUUAUUCUCCUGUCUCACUGUGGACAUUUCAUUGCUUCUGGCCACGUCUGCAGGCGAGUGCCCAGGGACCUUCCUGCCUGUUGUUGGGGUGCAUCAGCCUGGGCUUUUGUGGCAAGGACACAGGACCAAAGAAAAAACAAGAAAAAGAACACUGAGCGCCACGAGGCUCAGACUCCACUUUUGGAUGGGAAGAGAACUCCCGGGUGACCUUGGAAAAAAACCCUUCUCUGGCCGCCCGGCCAGCCACACGAUUUCCCUCGCAGAGCAGAACAAAUGUGAGUAGAUGGAGUUUAACUUUGGGAGAAGAAAUGUAAAAAAUAAAAUAAUUAUGGGGUGGGUGUGGGAUACAGCUUGAGAAUGAGUAAGAUUAAGAAGCAACUCAGAUGCCUAAUUAAAGAGCCAAAAAUAAAAAGCAGUAGCAGACUGGGUAUGGCUCUGGCGAUAUAUAUACACAUUUAUAUAUACACAGGGCUCCGAAAUACUACUGGCUUCCCUUCUCAGCAGACUUGACCUGCAUUUCCUUCCCGUGUUGGAGAGAAGAUAAUAAGGACUGGCUAGAGUGACGUUUUCCAAGCAUGCCCCAUGCGCCCAGCUCAGUGCAAAGUGGCAUGUGCCCCCAAGCACAGAUAGCAUCCUUUUCCCACUGGCCUAGCUUCUCUGAGCUUCAUUGUUUCCUCCUGCGAAAUGAAGAUCAUCACACUGCCCGCCUCUGAGCGCUUUUGUGACAAUUGCACAGGACGAGCACAAAACCAAGGGCCUGGCACCUCGCGGGGCCUGGGUGAAUGGAUCAUGAUUAUUCUUACAGUUGUUUGUUUCCAUAGGUAACUCACAUUCAAAAUGUUGAAAACUGAGCUUAUUAUCUUCCCCAUUAGGCCUGUCCUUGCUGAUUUCACAAGGAAUCAUCAUGUUCUCAAUUUUCUUCUGCCCCAGCACCCAGUUGCUCACUGAGUUCUUCUAAUUCUGCUUUUCCCAUAUCCCUUGAUGACAUCCUUAUCUCAUGGCUCACUGCCUUGGUUCCACCUGGUUCAAACCCUAAUUUCUUCUCUGUACUGCUAUGGUUUCUUCCUAAUGGGUUCCAGGGGGCACACUAAUUUCCCCCGCUUGGCCCCCGACUCCUCUCCGUUCUCACACUACUGCCUUAUGAAUCCUGCCUUACGAACAUGCCCAUUCUUUGCUUCCAGGCCACCGGUGGCUCUCUCUCUCUCUUAGCUAGAAGAUUAAGAGCAAAUUGUAAAAUGCAACGUAAAGUUGGCUUGUCCCCUCCCCAGCCUCACCUACCCUUCCAGGGCUCACUCUGGUCCAGAGCUCUGGGAUACUUGCUUUGCAUUAACAUCACCUGGGACCAACAAUGCCAAUGCCUGGGCCCUCUGACAGCUAAUCACGACAGAAUCUCUGGGGGUGGGCCCCAGGCAGGGGUAUAAUUUCAGAGCUUUUUGGGUGAUUCUAAGGUGCUGCUAAGCCUGAGAACCACUGUCCCCACCACACCCGAUACUCUCUGGAGCCUUUACCCCGUGUGUGUGUGUGUGUGUGUGUCUCCUGAUGCCUGGAAAGCUUUUCUCAGCCGUAUCCACCUGCAGUAUUUGCCCUAUUGUUUGAGAUGUAGCUAAAGCUCCUACUUGCAGGAAGUCUCCCUGGUUUCCCAUGAAGAUGCUCCCACUCCCCCUGACAUUGCCCUCUAUCAUGACUUAAUUAAUUUCCCCCUCUGCCUUCAUUCAGUUUUUAUCUGGAUUCCCUUUUUAGUACUUGGCUGGUAUUUCUGCUGUAAGGUUUGCUUCAUUUGGCUUGGAUUGCAGUCAGCUGUCUACAUGAUCUUCUAUCACCUCUCUCCAGCAUUCUGGCCUUAUUUCCUGCCACUUGUCACCUCAAGCACUCACUGUAGCCCCGCAGGCCCUCUGCCCAUUCCUGGACCACAAAGAGGCCCUGCCUCAGGGCCUUAGUAUAUGCUCUUCCCUCACAGUCAUAUUCUUCCUCCAUAUGUACAUAAGCUCAUUCAUUUCUUCCUCCACAUGUCAACUCACAGAAAGCCUUCCUUACUCAUAUUUCCACCAUGCUGUGUCUCUCAUCCUGUUUCUUUUGUCCUCAGAGUCCUUCUCAUCACUGACAUAUCACUGUUGCUUUUUGUUUAUUCUUUUUUCGUCUGCCUCCCACCAUUGCAUGUGAGCUCCAUGAGGACAGGGACUCUGUGGUGUUCAUUACUGUAUCUCCAGUGUCCAGAAUAGUCCUUGGCAUGUAGAAAGCAC
rnacentral:lncRNA from 1 species